UCCGUAGGUGGAUAAUUAAGUCAGGGGUGAAAGUCUGCAGCUCAACUGUAGAAUUGCCCUUGAUACUGGUUGUCUUGAGUCAUUAUGAAGUAGUUAGAAUAUGUAGUGUAGCGGUGAAAUGCAUAGAUAUUACAUAGAAUACCAAUUGCGAAGGCAGAUUACUAAUAAUCAACUGACACUGAUGGACGAAAGCGUGGGGAGCGAACAGGAUUAGAUACCCUGGUAGUCC
rnacentral:rRNA from 1 species